AUGUUAACAGGUCGCCCUGAGGAGGAGAUGCCCUCAUCUGCAAGUGAUUUACUGCAAGACCUCUCACAACUGCACGAGCGAUCUCGGCAAGUGAUGCAGGGUGUUGCCGAGGCCUUGUGGCCAUCAAGCGUACUGCCGAAUGGCAUGGAGGACCUUGUGGAUAUGCUUCAAGGAGCACGGCGGCGCUUCCGAUUGUGGAAGAUGUCAGCUUGCCGGCAAGGUGCAAGAGAAGCCUGGGCUAUGGUGAAGACGCGCUACACCAAGCUGGACCCGAACCAUAUGGCCAAAGUAGGACCGGCGGGGCCCGAUGGGCAAGAGAUUCCCUUGAGUCUGGUAUAUGACCAGGUAGCAUUAGCCGCCAAGUAG
rnacentral:rRNA from 1 species